CUUCUUCUCUGUGCAUUUAUCUGUCCAAACUUCCCCUUUAUAUAAGGACAGCAGUUGUACUGGCUUAAGGACUCCCCUGGGGGCUUCCCUGGUGGUCCAGUGGUUAAGAAUCCGCCUCCCAAUGCAGGGGAUAGGGGUUCCAUCCCUGGUCUGGGGACUAAGAUCCCAUGUGCUGCAGGGCAACCAAGGCCAGGUGCCACAAUGACUGAAGCCUGAGCCUCUCGCUCUGCAACAAGAGAUGCCCCGGCAACAAAAGAAAGCCAGAGCUAUGCACCAAAGAACCAGUGCAGCCAAAAAAAAAGAGGGCCUACCCUGAUGACCUUAUCUUCUCCUGGUUAUCUGAACAGACCCAAUUUACAAAUAAGGUCACGUUCAAGGUUACAGGUAAAGAACCUGCCUGCCAACACAGGAGAGGAUCUUCUCCUACCAUUGUUUUCCCCACCCACCGUACCGCCACAUCAAAAGACCUGCCCUUCUCCAAACACGCGUGCUGUUCCACACCUCUGCGACUCUGCGUCCUCCCUCUGCUGAUGCCUUCUCUCCUCCAGUCCAGCGGAAAACUCCUGGCCGUCUUUCAAGUGCUCUGUCAUUGCCACCCACUCCCAUUUCCCCAGCAAAAGCUUCCCUGUUCAUUCCCAAGGAGUUAACCUCUUCCUUCUCUAAGCCUCCACUGCACCCUACAUUUCUCUAGUACAGCACUUGACAUUUGAUUUGCUAUUAUUUGAUUACCCGUUUGCCUCCUGUCUGGACCACGAACUCUUUGAAGGUAGGGACUGUUGAUCUGGAUCACCUUGCACAGAUCCCAGCCCACAGCAAGUACUCAGUAAAUAAGGAGUAAAUGAAUACUCUGCACAGCCAAUCAGUAUCAUGGGGGACCCGAAGAAACAUCAUGUGGAGUCCCUGUCCUUAAGGUUCUUACAGUCCAGCUGGGUUCAUAAGAUACACACCAAAGAAAAGACAAACCAUACUGGUGGUAUUGACAACUAGCAGAAGAAGAGGCUACUGGGGCCUAUUGUUAUUGUUGCUGUUCAGUCACUAAGUCAUGUGACCCCAUGGACUGCAU
ensembl:lncRNA